rnacentral:rRNA from 1 species
UACAGAGGUCUCAAGCGUUGUUCGGAUUCAUUGGGCGUAAAGGGGUGCGUAGGUGGCGCUGUAAGUCGGGUGUGAAAUUUCGGAGCUUAACUCCGAAACUGCAUUCGAUACUGCGGUGCUUGAGGACUGGAGAGGAGACUGGAAUUCAUGGUGUAGCAGUGAGAUGCGUAGAGAUCAUGAGGAAGACCAGUGGCGAAGGCGGGUCUCUGGACAGUUCCUGACACUGAGGCACGAAGGCCAGGGGACGCAAACAGG